GCAUUUUAUAUGCUUGUUCCGUGUGUGUCACGCAGGUGGAGAUGGAGGCUGUCGCCUCCCAUAUGUCCCACCAGUCUGUUGCAUCGUCUGGGGGGCCGAGGUCUGCCUCCAAUGCUGCUAUAUAUGGGAGGGAGCGUUGCGUGGAGUGAUUGGCUAUGGUCAUGUAGAUGUCCAAGAUUUGUCCCUGUCUGUUCGGGUGGAUCGUGCAGUCGCAUUCGAAUCUAGUGAGCAGGGCCGUGCCAGCUUGUCUGAUGCUUGGGGUUGCUGCGAAACUGCGUAGUUGGAUAUAUCUAAAGUCGCCGAACGCUGUGAGGGAGGAUGACUCUUUGAUGUCUGUGAAUUGUAUGAUUUCGUUGCCCUUGUAUAGGUGUCCUAUUCUCGAGAUGUCCCUGUGUUCGAACUGGGAGAAGUGUUUGGGCGUGAAUCCUGGAGGGACCAGUUUGUUCCUCCAGAUCGGGG